rnacentral:lncRNA from 10 species
CGGCCAAGGCGACUCUGCGGCCAGGAACAGAAGCCGGCUCAUCGCUCACUCCCGGCACCAGGAAGCAUUUCGACUCCCAAGGAACCACUAAUUUUACAAAGAGAGUUGUCCUAAACUGUGACAAAUUUUCCAGUACUUAAUUCUUUUUACAAUUCAUUCGUUUUUUAAAUGACAAAAUUGUAUAUAUGUUGUGUAAAACCUUUUUAGAAAUAGGUAGAUGGUGGAAUGAUUGCAUUGCGCUCAGGAACAUAUGCAUACUUACUUUUUGUGGUGAGAACCCUUCUUGAUUUUCAAGAAUACGAUACAUUAACUGCAGUUACCAUGUUGUGCAAUGUAUCUCUUAAACUUAUUCCUCCUGUCUAACUACACUUUUGAAUGAUUUCACCGUCUCCCCAAACCCCUGCCUCCCACCCCCGGUAACCUCCAUUCUACUCUCUGCUUCUGUGAGUAGAAGCAGGAGGCUGGAGAAUUGCUUGAACUCAGGAGGCAGAGGUUGCAGUGAGCUGAGAUCGAGCCGCUGCACUCCAGCCUGUGUGACAGAGCAAGACUCUCAAAAAAACAAACAAACAAACAAAAAAAACAGAGAAUCCAGAGGUCAGACAUUCCUUUUAGUAAGGACUCCAAUAUGGUUUCUCACCUACUCACUCCAACAAAAUUGCUCUUCUCAAAGCACAAACGAUAUUGUUAAAUUAUGAAUUAAAGCAUAAU